UUUUUGUGUGUGUGUGUGCGUUCUAUACAUUCCCCCAGUUGAGACUGGGAAUAGGUCAACCUUUUAAGUGGAAAAGUGGAAGACAAGACUAGUUGUGAGUCAUCUGACUUCCAGGAAAUCCAGACUUGGGGGAAUAAUUAGUGUUUAUAAAAUAGGGUACCACUUGAGAUGGUCUUUUUCUCAUAUAAUGACUUACUGAAUUAGCAUUUGUACUUCAUAGAAGAAUAUAAAUCUAAAGAAGUCAUUUUUUCCCUCAGUUUUUGGAUUGUGUUCUUAAUUAGUAGCUGCUUCUUGGUGUGGCCCCAGGAAGUUUGGCAGGAGGCAAGGGAGUUCAUCAUCAAGACGUGGUUCCCUAAUUUCUGUCACCUCCUAGAGUUGGCAGCUAUUCUUUCCAGCCCAGAAUUGGGAUAGUGAAUGCACCAGAAAACAAACCUGUGUCAAAUAAAACAGCCCCACCCCUCCUUUUUUUCUUUUAGCUUCAGUUGGGCUGUUAAGAGAAGGAUGUGGGACUUCAUAAGCUCUGUGUCCUGGAUCAUCUGAGUAAUGACAAGGAAGAAACAAGUCAAUGAUGAGCAACAGAAUAGAAUAUGAAAAUAUCUUUUUACAAAGAAAAGCCCAGGAACAGAUGGUUUUGCUGCUGAAUUACAUCGAACUUUUAAGAAGAAGAAGUAAUAUCAGUUCUUCAAGAAAAUUGACUGGCCCUCCAGAUUCAAGAGUUGACUCCUUCAGACUCAUUCUAGAACAACAUUACUGUGAUUUCAAAACCAGGUGUUAUGGUUUAGUAUGAGGUGACCCCCAAAACUUGUGUGAGAUAACACAGAGGUGAAGUGAUUAGGUUAUCAGAGACAUAACCUAAUCAGUGGAUUUAUUCACUGAUAUGGAUUACCUGGGUGGUAAACAUAGGCAGAUAAGGUGUGGCUAGGGGAAGUAGGUCACUGAGGGCAUGAUUUUGGGAUUUAUAUUUUGCCCCCAGUGAGCAGACCUCUCUUUCUGUUUCCUGGUUGCCAUGCCCUGAGCUGCUGUCCUCCACCAUACUCUUCUGCCCUGAUCUUCAGUCUCAUGUUGGGCUCAGAGCUAUGGAGUAAACCGACCAUGGAUUGAACCUAGAAACCUUGAAACAAAAUAACUUCUUCUGUUAGUGUCUAUGAAUAAAUUACUGUUUAUACACAUUUAAAUAGUUCUAUAUAUGUUUAUAUGUGUUCUGUAAAUAUAUAUCUUUGUAUAUGUACAUAUGUGUAAACACGGCUUCUUUUGUUGAGGAGGCCAUACAGGUCUCAGCCUAGCUCUGAAGACCUAAGAGACAUCUCAGUAGAAGUGUUCCAGAAGUGUGGGUGAAGGUUUAGGGAUAAGUCAUAUUAUAAUAAGCACUUGAAGAUACUCUGGGGAGGAGCCUUUUGUGUGCAAGGAGUGUGGGAGAGCCUACAAAGUCAAACUUCACUUUGCUUGAGAGAACAAGUAGUACCACCUAUUAGGGAUCCCCUUUCAUGAUACCCCCUUGAAUAUUCCAAAUAUAUCCUCAUCCAGAUGGACAGUUCUGGGAAGAGAAGCCAGUUCCCCACCCACAUUUGCACUUGAGACUGCUUAAAAGGAACCAUUCUGGUGUUUGCCCUCAGCCAAAUACCACCUAUAACAGGUAAUGAAGCAUAAUAUCUGUUGGCCAGAAAGUCUGGCUUACUGAAAACAAACCCAUGUUUUUGGUGUUCCUACAAAAAAGUAGAAGAAGCAGCUAAGGCACCUGGAUCCCUUGUUGUCUCUAAUCAAGGUCAUAUUCAGGUCUGCUAGGUAGUUAGGGUUUUCUAGGUCCAUCAAGGGAUGACAAGAAUCAGUUUUCCUAGGAAUGUUUGGCCUUCAGAAUUUGGGAUCUUUUCCCAGGCCCUGAGAUAGCUCCAGACAAUCACAGAGCAGUCAGUCAUGCAGAGCUCUCCCUCCAGUUUGGUGCUGUCUUAACUCAUGCAUGUUCUUAGUGCCUUCAGCAUGACCCAAGGGCUCAGAAUUGGGUAAUGUACAACCAAGCUAAUAUUCUCCUGCUGUACACAUCCACAUGGGAAACCCACUGUAUGGGACCACCAUGGAUGUUUCAAAGACUUUUUUUUAAAAACCCUGAUCAAUAGUUUGGGGAAGUGAAGUAGGCUCCUUAUUGAGAAUGACAGGACUUGGGUUGGUCCUGGUAAAAGGGUACUGCCUAGUGUAUUGCCAACAGAUGAAGGCCUCCUAAGGCUCAGGUAAGGGACUCUUCUAGAAUUUGCUACCAGUAUUCCAUGAGGGGCCUUGCUGCACCCUGGUAUGAAUGGAGGAAUGUGGUCAUGUCAGAUUGUAUGUGUUUUCCUUGGGUUAUAUUUAUAUCACAUAUGUACACAACUAUGAAUUUAUAUAUUUCUUAAUAAAUUGAUGUUUUUAUAUGUACAUUUACUUAUAUGUUAGAAAGAUACAUUUGUUUCUCCAUGCAUGCAUGAUUCCAUAAUAAAGUGUAUUGAUGGCCUUUCUUGUAAUUGCUAUGUUAAAACACUCCAGACUGCCAAGGAAAGGUAUAUAUGUACAUGAGUUAAUCUCUCAAUUUUAAUCUAUACAUUUUUAUCUGGUUGUAUGUAUGCUUAUUAUGUUCCUAAAUGUAUCUUUGCAUAUAGAUUUAUAUAAAAAUUUAUACAACAUUUAUAUGAAUAUUUAUGAUUUUUGUGGAGACCAGUGAGGUUUCAGCUGAGAGACACCUCUAAACUUUGCAGCGCUGUUAAAGUUUCUGGACUGACUAUGUUCUUGGCCUAUACCCAGUUAUCACCUUGUAUGUGCAGUUUGCCUCCUUCCCCACAUCAUUUUUGCCACGUGCUCCUUGCCCAAUAAGUUGUGUCUGAAUUAGCCACACUUAUCAUCUAUCUGCUUGUGGGGAUAGGCUCAGUACUCUUCCUCUCAUCUGGAAUUAUAUUUGAUUGUUCAGUGAUCAAAUAUAAUUCCAGAAAAAUUUUGGUGGAGGGGAUUUUCUUGGUAAAAACUUGUUAAACCUCUGUGUAGCCUAAGAAUAUGGAAAACACGUACAAAUAAACCUGCUUUGGCUUACUGAA